rnacentral:rRNA from 1 species
GACGAACGCUGGCGGCGUGCCUAAUACAUGCAAGUCGAACGCUUCUUUCCUCCCGAGUGCUUGCACUCAAUUGGAAAGAGGAGUGGCGGACGGGUGAGUAACACGUGGGUAACCUACCCAUCAGAGGGGGAUAACACUUGGAAACAGGUGCUAAUACCGCAUAACAGUUUAUGCCGCAUGGCAUAAGAGUGAAAGGCGCUUUCGGGUGUCGCUGAUGGAUGGACCCGCGGUGCAUUAGCUAGUUGGUGAGGUGACGGCUCACCAAGGCCACGAUGCAUAGCCGACCUGAGAGGGUGAUCGGCCACACUGGGACUGAGACACGGCCCAGACUCCUACGGGAGGCAGCAGCAGGGAGUCUUCGGCAAUGGACGAAAGUCUGACCGAGCAACGCCGCGUGAGUGAAGAAGGUGUUCGGAUCGUAAAACUCUGUUGUUAGAGAAGAACAAGGACGUUAGUAACUGAACGUCCCCUGACGGUAUCUAACCAGAAAGCCACGGCUAACUACGUG